rnacentral:rRNA from 1 species
ACGGCUGAGUAACGCGUAGGAAUCUACCCCGAAGUGAGGGAUAAGCACCAGAAAUGGUGUCUAAUACCGCAUGUGCUCUUAGGAGUAAAGCUUCGGCGCUUUGGGAAGAGCCUGCGUAUGAUUAGCUUGUUGGUGAGGUAAGAGCUCACCAAGGCGACGAUCAUUAGCUGGUCUGAGAGGAUGAUCAGCCAGACUGGGGCUGAGAACGGCCCAGACUCCUACGGGAGGCAGCAGUAGGGAAUCUUCCACAAUGGGCGAAAGCCUGAUGGAGCAACGCCGCGUGCAGGAUGAAUGCCUUCGGGUUGUAAACUGCUUUUAUAUGUGAAGAUUAUGACGGUAGCAUAUGAAUAAGGAUCGGCUAACUCCGUGCCAGCAGCCGCGG